AUUGAACGCUGGCGGCAGGCCUAACACAUGCAAGUCGAACGGUAACAGGAAGAAGCUUGCUUCUUUGCUGACGAGUGGCGGACGGGUGAGUAAUGUCUGGGAAACUGCCUGAUGGAGGGGGUUAACUACUGGAAACGGUAGCUAAUACCGCAUAACGUCGCAAGACCAAAGAGGGGGACCUUCGGGCCUCUUGCCAUCGGAUGUGCCCAGAUGGGAUUAGCUAGUAGGUGGGGUAACGGCUCACCUAGGCGACGAUCCCUAUCUGGUCUGAGAGGAUGACCAGCCACACUGGAACUGAGACACGGUCCAGACUCCUACGGGAGGCAGCAGUGGGGAAUAUUGCACAAUGGGCGCAAGCCUGAUGCAGCCAUGCCGCGUGUAUGAAGAAGGCCUUCGGGUUGUAAAGUACUUUCAGCGGGGAGGAAGGGAGUAAAGUUAAUACCUUUGCUCAUUGACGUUACCCGCAGAAGAAGCACCGGCUAACUCCGUG
rnacentral:rRNA from 1 species